rnacentral:rRNA from 1 species
UCAGUGGCGAACGGGUGAGUAACACGUGAGCAAUCUGCCCUUGACUCUGGGAUAAGCGUUGGAAACGACGUCUAAUACCGGAUACGAGCUGUGAAGGCAUCUUCAACAGCUGGAAAGAAUUUCGGUCAAGGAUGAGCUCGCGGCCUAUCAGCUAGUUGGUGAGGUAAUGGCUCACCAAGGCGUCGACGGGUAGCCGGCCUGAGAGGGUGACCGGCCACACUGGGACUGAGACACGGCCCAGACUCCUACGGGAGGCAGCAGUGGGGAAUAUUGCACAAUGGGCGCAAGCCUGAUGCAGCAACGCCGCGUGAGGGACGACGGCCUUCGGGUUGUAAACCUCUUUUAGCAGGGAAGAAGCGAAAGUGACGGUACCUGCAGAAAAAGCACCGGCUAACUACGUGCCAGCAGCCGCGGUAAUACGUAGGGUGCAAGCGUUAUCCGGAAUUAUUGGGCGUAAAGAGCUCGUAGGCGGUUUGUCACGUCUGCUGUGAAAACUGGAGGCUCAACCUCCAGCCUGCAGUGGGUACGGGCAGACUAGAGUGCGGUAGGGGAGAUUGGAAUUCCUGGUGUAGCGGUGGAAUGCGCAGAUAUCAGGAGGAACACCGAUGGCGAAGGCAGAUCUCUGGGCCGUAACUGACGCUGAGGAGCGAAAGGGUGGGGAGCAAACAGGCUUAGAUACCCUGGUAGUCCACCCCGUAAACGUUGGGAACUAGUUGUGGGGUCCAUUCCACGGAUUCCGUGACGCAGCUAACGCAUUAAGUUCCCCGCCUGGGGAGUACGGCCGCAAGGCUAAAACUCAAAGGAAUUGACGGGGACCCGCACAAGCGGCGGAGCAUGCGGAUUAAUUCGAUGCAACGCGAAGAACCUUACCAAGGCUUGACAUAUACGAGAACGGGCUAGAAAUAGUCAACUCUUUGGACACUCGUAAACAGGUGGUGCAUGGUUGUCGUC